rnacentral:rRNA from 1 species
GACGAACGCUGGCGGCGUGCUUAACACAUGCAAGUCGAACGGAAAGGCCCUGCUUUUGUGGGGUGCUCGAGUGGCGAACGGGUGAGUAACACGUGAGUAACCUGCCCUUGACUUUGGGAUAACUUCAGGAAACUGGGGCUAAUACCGGAUAGGAGCUCCUGCUGCAUGGUGGGGGUUGGAAAGUUUCGGCGGUUGGGGAUGGACUCGCGGCUUAUCAGCUUGUUGGUGGGGUAGUGGCUUACCAAGGCUUUGACGGGUAGCCGGCCUGAGAGGGUGACCGGCCACAUGGGGACUGAGAUACGGCCCAGACUCCUACGGGAGGCAGCAGUGGGGAAUAUUGCACAAUGGGCGGAAGCCUGAUGCAGCAACGCCGCGUGCGGGAUGACGGCCUUCGGGUUGUAAACCGCUUUCGCCUGUGACGAAGCGUGAGUGACGGUAAUGGGUAAAGAAGCACCGGCGAACUACG